GGGGCCCUGAUUAUAAUUUCAGGACAGAGAAAAAUGCUUGUGGUUACCCACAGACCAGAGCAUAGGCCAGAAUAAGAGUGACAACACCCCUCCGGAGAUCAUAUCAGCUUGGAAGGACUGAAAACUUAUAGGCCCCUAGAAUUGUCUCUGAAAAUAGCAUCACAAAAAAUCUGAAUCUUGGGACAGUGCUCCCACUAUCUGGGGAACAGAGACCAACUUUAAUAUAAAGUUAAAAGUCAAGACUGGAAAAAGAAGCAAACAAAAAAAGAACCUUACCACAUAAAGUUCCUAUGGUGACAGGGAAGAUCAAAACAUAAACUCAGAAGACAAAGAAACUACAUGCAAAGCCUCAAAUAAAAGUAUGAAUUGGUUUCAGGCCUUAUAAGACUUAAAAAUUAUUUAUAAAAACAAAUUAAGGUGGUAAAAGAAAAAUUGAGGGAAAAAUGAGAGUGAUGCAAGAAAAUAAUGAAAAAGUCAACAGUUUGGUAAAGGAGGCUCAAAAAUACUGGAGAAAAAUAACAUCUUAAAAAACAGAAUAUACCAAAUAGUAAGAGACAUGGAAAUCCACUGAAGAGAAGAGUUCCUAAAAAAGCAGAAUUGGCCAAAUAGAAAAGGAGGUACAAAAGCUCACUUAAUAUAAUAACUCCUUAACAAUUGGAAAGUAGAAGCUAAAGACUCCAUGAAUCCUCAAGAAGCAACAAAAUAGGGAGUUGCUGCAUAGCUCAGUGGAUUGAGAGCCAGGCCUAGAAAUGGGAGGUUCUAGGUUCGAAUCUCACCUCAAAUACUUCCUAACUAUGUGAUCCUGGGCAAGUCAGUUAACCCCCAUUGCCUAGUAUUUACUGCUCGUCUGCCUUGGAACCAAUACAUAGUAUUGAUUCCAAGACAGAAGGUGAGGAUUAAAAAAAAAAAAAGAAUUUCAUGUGAUGAAAGGGCAGCUAGAUGGCUCUGUGGACUGAGAGCCAGCCCUAAGGAUAGGAGAUCCUUGUUUAAAUCUGACCCUGGGCAAGCCACUUAAUCACCAUUGUCCAGCCCUUAUAGCUCUUCUGCCUUGGAAACCAAACACGAUAUUGGUUCUAAG
rnacentral:lncRNA from 1 species